rnacentral:rRNA from 1 species
CCUACGGGAGACAGCAGUGGGGAAUAUUGGGCAAUGGGCGCAAGCCUGACCCAGCAACGCCGCGUGAAGGAAGAAGGCUUUCGGGUUGUAAACUUCUUUUAAGAGGGAAGAGCAGAAGACGGUACCCCUUGAAUAAGCCACGGCUAACUACGUGCCAGCAGCCGCGGUAAUACGUUGGUGGCAAGGGUUGUCCGGAUUUACUGGGUGUAAAGGGCGUGUAGCCGGGCUGACAAGUCAGAUGUGAAAUCCCGUGGCUCAACCACGGAACUGCAUUUGAAACUGUCGGUCUUGAGUAUCGGAGAGGCAGGCGGAAUUCCUAGUGUAGCGGUGAAAUGCGUAGAUAUUAGGAGGAACACCAGUGGCGAAGGCGGCCUGCUGGACGACAACUGACGGUGAGGCGCGAAAGCGUGGGGAGCAAACAGGAUUAGAUACCCCUGUAGUC